ACAUUAAUAUCAAUCUAAUGACAUUCCAUAGGAAUAAAAAUCCAAUGGGAUCCAGUUCUUAGCAGUCCCAGCCUAGUCAGAAGUACAAAGUCAAAUACCAUUUGCACAUCACCAAGAGGUACAAUCUGAUGAGUAACAGGAUAUCUAAAAGCUUGCCAGGUUUCACAGGCAGUUUGAGUAUCACCAGGGCACAUCAAGAAGAAAUAUGAAGGUCAGGUUCAUAACAAGCAGUUACUUCAUUGCAAUUACAGAUUUUAAAAAAAUGAAUGAAUUUAAAUAAAUGUGUCAAUACGUAUUGUAUGUUGCUUAAACUACACAUCUGUUGAAAAAAAAGGAUUAGAUGGAGUAUAGAUAUU
rnacentral:lncRNA from 1 species